AUGAAGGUGGAUUGAGAAGUCUGCUGGACAUAUCACAAGUGCGAAUGCUGACAUGAGUAACGAUAAUGGGGGUGAAAAACCCCCACGCCGGAAGACCAAGGUUUCCUGCGCAACGCUAAUCGGCGCAGGGUGAGUCGGCCCCUAAGGCGAGACCGAAAGGUGUAGUCGAUGGGAAACGGGUUAAUAUUCCCGUACCUUGGAUAGCUGCGAUGGAGAGACGGAGAAGGCUAGGUGAGCCGGGCGACGGUUGUCCCGGUUUAAGCGAGUAGGGAGAGGACUUAGGCAAAUCCGGGUCCUUAAUCCUGAGACGUGACGACGACUGCUCAUUCGAGCGGGAAGUCAUUGAUGCCCUGCUUCCAGGAAAAUCUUCUAAGCUUCAGGCUAUUCGAGACCGUACCCCAAACCGACACAGGUGGUCAGGUAGAGAAUACCAAGGCGCUUGAGAGAACUCGGGUAAAGG
rnacentral:rRNA from 1 species